GUCCUAGUAGCGCAAUGGAUAGCGCGUUGGAUAUCUGCUCCAAGGGUCGUGGGCUCGAUUCCCACCUGGGAUG